CUGAGACUCGGGUGGGAUUAUAUAUGAAAUAUUUAUAAGUGGUUCUUAAAAGAAUAUCUGUUUACCCAAGGGAGUGCCAUGGGGGACUUACUGCCUCCAGCAUACCUACAAAUAUUGAAAACUAUGAGUGCUAAUUUAUGCACGAGAAGAGCCACAAUGCAGUUUUACCAUUCACAUGCUAAUAAUACAGCAUGGUUGACCAUGAUAAUUCCAAGAACUUUUAUGUUUCUCCUUUGGUCUGAUGGCUACAGGAAUAUCCUGGAGGAACCAGAGCUUUUCCCAGCAGACCGAACUCAUGAACAAGCUUGCUCACCACUCCCUACUCUCCUUCAUACAGUGAAAGCUUCAUGUUGACAGAGGAAUGGCCUCAC
rnacentral:lncRNA from 1 species